rnacentral:rRNA from 1 species
UACGUAGGGUGCAAGCGUUGUCCGGAAUUAUUGGGCGUAAAGAGCUCGUAGGCGGUUUGUUGCGUCGGCUGUGAAAUCCCGAGGCUCAACCUCGGGUCUGCAGUCGAUACGAGCAAACUAGAGUGUUGCAGGGGAGACUGGAAUUCCUGGUGUAGCGGUGAAAUGCGCAGAUAUCAGGAGGAACACCGGUGGCGAAGGCGGCGUUCUGGACUGCAACUGACACUGAGGAACGAAAGCCAGGGGAGCAAACGGG